UAGGUUUAGGAUACUGUCAUUCAUAUUCCAUUCACCCAGUUCAAUGUAACAGCGAUAGGUUUAGGAUACUGUCAUUUAUAUUCCAUUCACCCAGUUCAAUGUAACAGCGAUAGGUUUAGGAUACUGUCAUUUAUAUUCCAUUCACCCAGUUCAAUGUAACAGCGAUAGGUUUAGGAUACUGUCAUUUAUAUUCCAUUCACCCAGUUCAAUGUAACAGCGAUAGGUUUAGGAUGCUGUCAUUCAUAUUCCAUUCACCCAGUUCAAUGUAACAGCGAUAGGUUUAGGAUACUGUCAUUCAUAUUCCAUUCACCCAGUUCAAUGUAACAGCGAUAGGUUUAGGAUGCUGUCAUUCAUAUUCCAUUCACCCAGUUCAAUGUAACAGUGAUAGGUUUAGGAUACUGUCAUUCAUAUUCCAUUCACCCAGUUCAAUGUAACAGCGAUAGGUUUAGGAUACUGUCAUUCAUAUUCCAUUCACCCAGUUCAAUGUAACAGCGAUAGGUUUAGGAUACUGUCAUUUAUAUUCCAUUCACCCAGUUCAAUGUAACAGCGAUAGGUUUAGGAUACUGUCAUUUAUAUUCCAUUCACCCAGUUCAAUGUAACAGCGAUAGGUUUAGGAUACUGUCAUUCAUAUUCCAUUCACCCAGUUCAAUGUAACAGCGAUAGGUUUAGGAUACUGUCAUUUAUAUUCCAUUCACCCAGUUCAAUGUAACAGUGAUAGGU